rnacentral:ncRNA from 2 species
CUCUUAUCGAGAGUGGUGGAGGGACUGGCCCGAUGAAACCCGGCAACCUGCUCCUGAAAGUCAGGGGUAUAGGUGCCAAUUCCUGCAGGGCGUUUUGCUCUGAGAGAUAAGAG